rnacentral:rRNA from 1 species
AGAGUUUGAUCAUGGCUCAGGAUGAACGCUGGCGGCGUGGAUAAGGCAUGCAAGUCGAACGCUUCGUAAUUUAUUGCGAAGAGUGGCGAACGGGUUAGUAACACGUAGGAAUUUACCCUGAAGACCGGAAUAACUCGGAGAAAUUCGAGCUAAUACCGGAUAGUCUCGUAAGAGUAAAGUAUCGUUUCGGCGAUUUCACUUCAGGAGAAGCCUGCGUCCUAUCAGCUUGUUGGUGAGGUAAUAGCUCACCAAGGCUUUGACGGGUAGGGGAGGUGAGAGCCUGACCCCCAACAAUGGAACUGAGAUACUGUCCAUACACCUACGGGUGGCUGCAGUCGAGAAUCUUCCACAAUGGGCGAAAGCCUGAUGGAGCGACGCCGCGUGAGUGAAGAAUCCCUUCGGGGUGUAAAACUCUUUUCUGAAGGAACAAGUCCGAUUUAUCGGAUUGAGCGUACUUCAGGAAUAAGGGGUGGCUAACUUCGUGCCAGAAGCCUCGGUAAUACGAAGGCCCCAAGCGUUAUCCGGAAUCACUGGGCGUAAAGCGUGGGUAGGCGGUUUUAAUAGUGGUUGGUUAAAUUCCGGAGCUUAACUUCGGAGCUGCCAGCUAAACGUUAAGACUAGAGCAAGCGAGAGGCUGAUGGAACUUACCCAAGUAGGGGUGAGAUCCGUUGAUAUGGUAGGGAACACCAAAGGCGAAGGCAAUCAGCUGGCGCUUGACUGACGCUGAUCUACGAAAGCGUGGGGAGAGAAGAGGAUUAGAUACCCUCGUAUUCCACGCCGUAAACGAUGCCAACUAGCCGUUCGAAGUAUCGACCCUUCGAGUGGCGAAGCUAACGCGUUAAGUUGGCCGCCUGGGAAGUACGGCCGCAAGGCUAAAACUCAAAGGAAUAGACGGGGACUUGCACAAGCGGUGGAUCAUGUGGUUUAAUUCGAUGCUACACGAGGAACCUUACCAGGGUUUGAAAUUCUAAUGUAACUCCGCAGAAACGUGGGGCCUCUUAAUAAGACAUUAGAGUCAGGUGGUGCACGGUUGUCGUCAGUUCGUACUGUGAAGCGUUCCUUUAAUUAGGGUAACGGACGCAACCCUCAUCCUGUGUUACAAGUGUCACAGGGGACUGCCUCCGAAUAGGAGGAGGAAGGCGAGGACGACGUCAAAUCAGCGUGUCCCUUUGAUAUCCUGGGCCACACACAUGAUACAAUGGCCGAGACAAUGGGUUGCCAAACCGCAAGGUGGAGCUAAUCCCAUCAAACUUGGUCUCAGUUCGGAUUGGGGGCUGCAACUCGCCCCCAUGAAGCCGGAAUCGCUAGUAAUCGCGAAUCAGCUAUGUCGCGGUGAAUACGUUCCCAAGUCUUGUACUCACUGCCCGUCAAAUCAGGGAAGUCGGUAGCGCCCGAAGUCUCUCCAUCAGGAGGGCCUAAGGCGAGAUCGGUGACCAGGAUUAAGUCGUAACAAAGGUA